rnacentral:ncRNA from 1 species
UCGGGCCUUCGCGGAUCGCCCGGUCAGGCGUUUAUUGCGCCCAAGCAUCCGC